rnacentral:rRNA from 1 species
AAACCGGAGCUAAUACCGGAUACUAUGUCAAACCGCAUGGUUUGACAUUCAAAGACGGUUUCGGCUGUCACUUACAGAUGGGCCCGCGGCGCAUUAGCUAGUUGGUGAGGUAACGGCUCACCAAGGCGACGAUGCGUAGCCGACCUGAGAGGGUGAUCGGCCACACUGGGACUGAGACACGGCCCAGACUCCUACGGGAGGCAGCAGUAGGGAAUCUUCCGCAAUGGACGAAAGUCUGACGGAGCAACGCCGCGUGAGUGAUGAAGGUUUUCGGAUCGUAAAACUCUGUUGUCAGGGAAGAACAAGUGCCGGAGUAACUGCCGGCGCCUUGACGGUACCUGACCAGAAAGCCACGGCUAACUACGUGCCAGCAGCGGCGGGUAAUGA